rnacentral:rRNA from 1 species
GACGAACGCUGGCGGCGUGCUUAACACAUGCAAGUCGAACGGAAAGGCUCCAGCUUGCUGGAGUACCCGAGUGGCGAACGGGUGAGUAACACGUGGGUAAUCUGCCCUGCACUCUGGGAUAAGCCUGGGAAACUGGGUCUAAUACUGGAUAUGACCUUUCUCCUUAUGGGGUUUGGUGGAAAGUUUUUCGGUGUAGGAUGAGCCCGCGGCCUAUCAGCUUGUUGGUGGGGUGAUGGCCUACCAAGGCGACGACGGGUAGCCGGCCUGAGAGGGUGAUCGGCCACAUUGGGACUGAGAUACGGCCCAGACUCCUACGGGAGGCAGCAGUGGGGAAUAUUGCACAAUGGGCGGAAGCCUGAUGCAGCGACGCCGCGUGAGGGAUGACGGCCUUCGGGUUGCAAACCUCUUUCAGCAGGGACGAAGCGUAAGUGACGGUACCUGCAGAAGAAGCACCGGCUAACUAUGUG